AAAAAGACAAACCCUAAGUUUUCGUGUCUAACAUUUGACCGUCUGUCUUAUUUGAAAAAAUUAUGAAAAAAAUUAAAAAUACAAGUCACGCAUAAAGUAUUAAUCAUGUUUUAUCAUCUAACAACAAUAAAAAUACUAAUUAUAAAAAAUUUCAUAUAAGACGGACGGUCAAAUAUUGGACACGGAAACCUAGGGUUUGUCUUUUU
rnacentral:pre_miRNA from 1 species